rfam:Aureobasidium pullulans var. pullulans EXF-150 unplaced genomic scaffold scaffold_13, whole genome shotgun sequence.
GCUCGUGUGGUCUAGUGGUAUGACAUCUCUCUCACACAGAGAAGAUCCUGGGUUCGAUCCCCAGCAUGAGCA